AACGUAGGAGACAAACGUUAUCCGGAGUUACUGGGCGUAAAGGGCGUGUAGGUGGUUUAGUAAGUCUGGCGUGAAAUUUUUCGGCUUAACCGGGAAAGGUCGUCGGAUACUGCUGAGCUAGAGGACGGUAGAGGCGUGUGGAAUUCCGGGUGUAGUGGUGAAAUGCGUAGAUAUCGGGAGGAACACCAGUGGCGAAGGCGACUACCUGGCCUGUUCUUGACGCUGAGGCGCGAAAGCUAGGGGAGCAAACGGG
rnacentral:rRNA from 1 species